AUGUCUCGAAGGAAUAUGUUUAAAUACUAUCAGUUAUUAUUUAGUAAAUUAAACCAAUGUAUAAAAUGUCAAUUUGUCAAUUGUUUUUUCGUAACAAAUAAACAACGACGUGGGGUUAAGUCAUUAUCAAUAAAUCACUCAAAGAAAGAAAUUAUGAAGACGGUAAAAUUGUUGUCAGGGUAUGACAUGCCUACUGUGGGUUUAGGUACCUGGCAGGCUAAACCUGAAGAAAUUGAAAAAGCUGUGUCAACUGCUUUAAAUGUUGGUUACAGACAUAUUGACACUGCAUUUAAUUAUAAUAAUGAAGAGGCAAUUGGGGCAGUAUUAAAAAAAUGGUUUGAAGAAGGUGGAAAACGAGAAGAUCUUUUCAUUACUUCAAAGUUACCCAAUUAUGGUAAUCGACCAUCAGAUGUGGAAAAGUUCAUUACCUUAUCCCUGAAAAAACUUGGCUUGAAUUAUUUGGAUAUGUACUUAAUUCAUAUGCCAUUUGCUUUUAAAUUAAAUGAAAGUACUAAUACUGCAGCAACUAAUGAAGAUGGAAGUUACGUGUUAGAUCUUGAUACAGAUCCUGUUUCAGUGUGGAAGCAAAUGGAAGAACAAGUUGAAAAGGGUCAUACAAGAUCUAUAGGUCUAAGUAAUUUUAAUGAAAAACAAGUCUUAAACAUUUGGGAAAAUGCACAAAUUAAACCAAGUAACUUACAAAUAGAAUUACAUGCUUACCUGCAACAAAAUUCAAUUAGACAAAUGUGCCAAAAGCACAAUAUUAUUGUAACAGCAUACAGUCCUCUGGGAUCACCAGGAGCUAAACAGCACUUUCAAACAAAAUACAAUCAUAAUGUUGAAGAUUUUCCUGAUCUUUUAGGACAUCCAAUAGUACAAAAAAUUAGUACGGAACACAAACGCUCACCGGCACAAAUUUUACUGCAUCAUCUGUUACAAUUAGGUGUUGUUGUAAUUCCAAAAAGUUCAUCCCCAGAAAGGAUUAAAGCAAAUAUUGAUUUAUUUGAUUUUACAUUAACAAAAAAAGAGAUGGAACUUUUAAGUACCUUAGAUAAGGGCCCUGGUGGAAGAAUUUUUAAUUUUCUAUUUUUCAAAGGUGUUGAAAAUCAUUCGCACUAUCCAUUCAAAGAUGAAUUACAAUCCUAAUUGAAAUACUGUUAACGUGUAGUUUGAGUACGUGUAUAUUUAUAUAUUACAAAUGAGUUAAGUGAAGUACAAAAAUUAAAAAAAUAUAUGAAUAAAUGCACAAAAACGAAAGAUGUUGUCGCAUUUCAGUCUAUAAUAAUCUGUAUAACAUUUUACGUUGCAUACGAUGUUGAAGUUCUCCGCGACGUAUCAUUGAAAUCUGCGUUUCAAUUGUUUCUCAAUACGAGAUAACAUUUCAUGAUCUUCGUUCGAGUAAUUUUAGAUUACCAGCUAAUGAUCCAGACAUUGCAGCAUCUAAAGUAGACACUUGGAAAAGUCGAAGCGCUUCGUUUACAUGAACUUCUGUAGCAAAAGGUUGUAAUCUCAUUUUAGCUAAAGAUUCAGAGAUUCUUAUUACAGCUUCCAAUUGGCGAACGGUUAUGGGAAUAGACAAUCUUUUUUCUGUGUCCUUCUCAUGAUCUCUUGUACUAGCUCGCAUUACGACAUAACGAUUUUUUAAUUUCUCUCCCGCGUCUUUACUAAGUCUUGGACCACAACGUCUGUAGGAAGUAUAUAAAUUAAUUCGGAAUAAAAAACAUAUUUAAAAGUAA